UUUAAGGUCUAAUCUGCCCUAUGAGGAGUUAAAUGGCCGCGGUAUUUUGACCGUGCAAAGGUAGCAUAAUAAUUAGUUUUUUAAUUGGAAGCUGGAAUGAAUGAUUGGACGAGAAAAUUACUGUCUCGGGUUAAUUUUAUUAGAAAUUUAUAUUUAAGUAAAAAAGCUUAAAUGAUUUUAAAAGACGAGAAGACCCUAUAGAGUUUUAUAUAAGAAAUUAUUUUAUUUUUUUAGAAUUAUUAUAUUAGAAUAAUUUUUGGUAUUUUGUUGGGGUGAUAGAAAAAUUUAGUUAACUUUUUUUAUAUAUUUACAUUGAUUUAUGAUUGAAUGAUCCAUUAUUUAUGAUUAUAAGAUUAAAUUACCUUAGGGAUAACAGCGUAAUUUUUUUUUAGAGUUCAAAUCGAAAAGAAAGGUUGCGACCUCGAUGUUGGAUUAAAAUUAAUGUUUGGUGCAGGAGCUAAAUAAUUAGGUCUGUUCGACCUUUAGAAUUUUACA
rnacentral:rRNA from 1 species